UACGGGGGGGGCAAGCGUUGUUCGGAAUUACUGGGCGUAAAGGGCUCGUAGGCGGCCAACUAAGUCGGAUGUGAAAUCCCCAGGCUUAACCUGGGAACUGCAUCCGAUACUGGAUGGCUUGAAUCCGGGAGAGGGAUGCAGAAUUCCAGGUGUAGCGGUGAAAUGCGUAGAUAUCUGGAGGAAUACCGGUGGCGAAGGCGGCAUCCUGGACCGGUAUUGACGCUGAUGAGCGAAAGCUAGGGGAGCAAACGGG
rnacentral:rRNA from 1 species